rnacentral:tRNA from 1 species
CGGGUAUAGCUUAAUGGUAAAGCCCUAGCCUUCCAAGCUAGUUAUGAGAGUUCGAUUCUCUCUACCC